CUCUCCUAAGCCUUUCUCUAGUGUCCCCAUUCCCAUUACUGACUACCAGGGUUUGAGAUGGUCAAAAACAUUUUUGUCCCAGGACUACGCAUUAUAUACGACCUGCAAAGUAGCAUCACAAGUUCAAACUAGUGAAGGUUGUCAAGACAGAAAGUGUGCAAAGUGCAUCUACUUGGUUCUGUGAAGCAGAUCAGCUCUUUCUAUUUGAAGCGACCUGUUAAAUCUAACACACUCUCAGAGGUCAUCAAUGUUCCAGAGAACCCAAUACAAAAUACAUCAAAAGGUCAGUUAUAAGUGGAGUGAACCAAAGCUUGGUGAGAUUUCUCAGUUUUCCAUCAGGCAACUUUUGUGGCUUCGAGAGGUAACAAAUUUCAGAUGUCUGAAAAUCAAAAUCAGCAUCAUGAGCGUUAGAUGUUCAAUUACUUCCCACUAGUUAGCUCUACCUGUCUGAGGCAGAAGGAUAAUGACAUCCAGGUAAGCAUUCAACCCUGAUAUUUAAUAUUAAAAUGAAAUUUAAACAAGUCACAUUGUAACUGGUCUAGAAGAGAGGAAAACAUAUUUCUUUGAUGUACACCAUAAGGGAACAUCUGUUACAGCUGGAUUUUUAUCUGUGUUUCAUGUUCCCGUUCCUCUGUGACAUUCUAAAAACAUUAAUAAAAGUAAACAUUUUUGUUGUGAUCUUUAUAAAUGUCUACUAAACCACCCCAAGAUAAACAUCCUCCACCUCCCACAGAUCUGGCUUUGUGCUGAGGGACAUGAAUGCACAUGUUCACCAGUCUUAUUUUACAUUUUGUUGGUAUAUCAUUGCCUGAGCAAAUUCUCAUCACAGUAGAAUUAUAAACACCCAAGAACUGUGUGAAUUCUGUACAUUUAUUAAUAUAUUCACAUUUACAGUAAAAAAGCACACAAUACAACAGAACUGGCAAUACAACAGAAUACACAAUAUACAAAAGUACACAAAACUGCAACACCAAAAUCUAUUCAGUGUUCUGCUCCGCCAUGUAUUAUUAUUAGUAGUAUUAGUAUUAGUAUUAAAAAAAAUUAAAUCACAGAUUACAGUGAGUUCUGUGAAAAAGCCCUGUACAAGUAUUUUUGUUGUCAAAGGUACAACAGUUGUCCUUAAAAAUUAUAUACCAUUAAUUAUAAUCCUAUAUAUUUGUGUUUAUAUAAGUAACGGUAUAAACAACAUGUUCUCGAGUAUAUUACAGCAGUGAGAAAUGUUUGUACGGUAUGUUACCUUUUUCGUUCUGAGAAGGUAAAUAAUUGUAAAAAAGCUACGGGUAAAAAUCACCACAGAUGUUUAAAAACAGAUCCCACAAAAUCUCAAAAUCAGAAAAGGAGUCAGUUCACACUAGUCCAUUAGCAAUUGAAAAGCAUCACACAGUGAUAAGUAAGAGAUAAAUAUUUCACUGAAACUAGAAAUGAAGCGUUAGAAAAAGAAAGAAAGAAAAGAAUCUGCUACAUAUAUGGGAUUAUAUUUUCCCCUUAACUGUACAUUUCCCCCUUUUUCCUUAAUUUCCUUAAUCCUGUCCCUCUGCCAUGACAGAGACUGACAUAAAGAAAGCUUAUCUUUCUGAGCUUGGCACAGUGUCACAACUACUGUAUGUAUUGGGAUUAUAUUAUUUCAGCUUCUGUGAUCAUUUUGCGAGUGAAUAUUGCUGACAUAUUACAGUUGUUAUUUCUUAUAAACAAAACUGCAACAAUGAUGCACAAGGCAAGACAAAUCAUGAGCAAUACAGCCAAGGCAACUUCAGGUGAACGACCCUUAUAUGUAG
ensembl:lncRNA